GACGAACGCUGGCGGCGUGCUUAACACAUGCAAGUCGAGCGGUAAGGCCCUUCGGGUACGACGAGCGGCGAACGGGUGAGUAACACGUGGGUGACCUGCCUCUAGCUCUGGGAUAAGCCUGGGAAACUGGGUCUAAUACCGGAUAUGACUCCACGGCGCAUGUUGUGGGGUGGAAAGCCUUGUGUGGCUAGAGAUGGGCCCGCGGCCUAUCAGCUUGUUGGUGGGGUGAGGCCUACCAAGGCGACGACGGGUAGCCGGCCUGAGAGGGCGACCGGCCACACUGGGACUGAGACACGGCCC
rnacentral:rRNA from 1 species